UGCGCCGUGACAAAAGGAGCAUGCCGCUCCAGUCCUUCCAACGCACACCCUGUCCGUCACGGGCACUCACACUCAUCUCACUCACAAUCACUAGGCGCGCCAAAUUAGGAGCUCCAAGAAAGAGACCGUCCUGGCAGCAAUGGCUUGCCGGCGGCGGCGUGGCUGCAGGGAGGCGGUGCUGUGGGCGGCGCUGUGGCAGGCUCUGCUCCUGCCUUGGACGCUGGGCGCGAGCACGCCGGCGAAGGCUGCCGAGCCGGUGGUGGUGGCCGGGCCAGUGUCCAGGGUGGAGGACGCGAGGCUGUUCCACAUAUACUACGGCCAGGCAUUCAAGGUCAUCAAGAACACCUGGGACGGCAAGAGCUACCUUCUCAUGCAGAACACGUCCAAGAUGGCGACCAAGACCAAGUACUGCACGGGAAGGAUCAAGUCGUUCGUGAUCCCCAUCGCCAACUACUCCGUCGACACCACGGCUUCUCCAGUGUCAUUCUUUGAGCUACUUGGAGUGCUAGAUAACUUGAAAGGGAUAACAUCAGGUCAGGUUGCCUCCCAGUGCGUGCUCCAAGCAUAUGCAAGUGGAAAUGUGCAGCUUGUGAACAGGACAGACGCACAGAAGCUAUCACAGUUUAGCACACAUUUCAUCGGCAGCACAGAUGAAGAUAAAGGUUGCAAUUUUGCAGCUUAUGUACCAUCAGAAGAGGAUACACCGUUGCAGAGGGCUGAGUGGAUCAAGUACCUGGGGACAUUCACAAAUUCCGAAGAUAGGGCUAAUGCAGUAUAUGAUGCAAUUAAGACAAACUAUAUGUGCUUAAGCAAAGCAGCUGCGAACCUCAGUACCCGAUUCAAACCCAUAGUAGCAUGGAUUGAAUACGCAGAGGGAGUGUGGACAUUUGUCAAAGAAAGUUACAAGUUACAGUAUGUCACAGAUGCAGGCGCAGAAACUGUUGAUGCAACUAUUACCGAUAAGAGAUUCAACAUUUCCGAUCCAGAGGAUAUGGACAACCUACAUGCUAUUCUUUGUACAGUAGAUGUGGUCCUAGAUCAGACAUAUGCCUCAGAUCCGGCAGAGUACAAGCUAUCCACAUUUUUGGAUAAUAUUAAUGUGGGCCGUGACUCUUGUUUCAGUUUUAUUACUAACCAAAGUAUAUGGAGAUUUGACAAGAAAAUAGGGGGGUCAAAGACACUUGAUUGGUUUGAUGGAGCUAUCUCCCAGCCACAGUUGGUUCUGGCUGAUCUAAUAGAAGCUUUCUUCCAAACGGGAAACUACACAACAAUUUACUUCAGGAACCUUGCAAAGGAAGAAGGGGUCACAGAACUAGACCCUGCAAUGUGUAGUAGGAGCAUAUCCACACCAAUGGAGCCUACGAUCCUGCCCUGCAAUGAGGACCCUAGAUGAACAUUAAGGCAAUUGAAGCCACUGUGGUCGCAAAACAGUGGAAGUGUUGAACUAUUCUAAUCUUCUAGGAAUACCAUCACUUGAGAAUGACUAAACUAUUCUUGGCAGACAUACAAGGAGAAAUUGCAGGACAUUCGUGAACAGUAAAAUUAGCACCAGGGAUACCUUUUGUGGAGUAAAAGUAUGGAAGCAUGAAACAGGAACUGCAAGCGCAACUAUAAAUAUCUGCUACCAGAGGGGCACUUUUGUUAUAGCUUAUACUCCAUAGUCAGAACUCAGAAACUCUUAGCAUGGUCAGAUAAGAUUUAAGACAGCAGAUUACAGUACAUUUUGCCUCAUAUAUGUAUCACGCUACCACGGCUCCAAAGGAAAUAAGAUCAUCAUCCUUAUAAGCCA